UUAUUCUACAUAAGUGUUUUAUAAGAGUUGGUCGAGGAGAGAUCUGUCCCUCCCGUUACGCGAUACGAAACGAAAACGACUAUGACUGGGAAGAAGUUGCACGCUCUCUGUCCGACUUUUUGAUCGGUAGGAAAAAUCAUUUCUCCGUUAAAGGACAGCAUUGUGCGGUCAGAGUACAUACUACUGGCUCUGUGUUUGGGGCUACCCAGCGUUACCUCGUAACAUUCUCAUGCCAUCAACUUCCCUCUCCCGAAAUCCCAGACGGGAAAGUGAGUUUCGGAACAUGAUUGUUAAUUUUACGUAACGUACGACUCGGUUGCUCACUAGGAACAAGUUUCCCCUCCUGCUUUUACCCAGAUCUCUGUUCGAUAUCCAACUUGAAUUUUCUCGACUGUAAUUUCUCGAUGAAUAAAAAGGCGAGGUUAUGUGCUGCUUUUGAAUUUCCCGCUGCAAUUCUCACGCUCUCCGUGAGCAUAAUCUUCGUUCUUUCUCUCUUUCUCUCUCUCUUUGUUGUUGAAACAAGUUGCGGUACAGACUGCGACGGUGUUUUCGAAAAACAAACCAACGUUAUCUCGGCGCAACGAUGUUAACUUUUCAACGAAGGGACCAAACAGACCAGGAGCCAGUGAAGAAAUAAAGAGGGAGUGACAACGAAAGAGAAGAUGGAGGGAUAGGGUUAGUCUGUAUCAACUGUGCACCCUUAUCAAUUGGAAAAUUGGUGUGUGCAGUGGGAGCGGAAGAGGAGGGGAUUCGACAACGUUCAACUCGAUUUGGUGGGGGAAGAACGAUUAGGUUUACGCGCCUGCUAGGGGCGUACAUAUCAAAGGGUCGACAUAGGGGCUACUGUACACAGAGAAUAUUAGUUCAGAUACAAUUUUCGUUCUGGAAUUUCGUAGCGGCCAAACCUGGUGGCAAAAGGGAAGGAGUGUUCGGUACAAAAAGCAGGGGCGUAUCCAAGGAAUAGGAUGAGAGGAUCUUUGUGUGCAUGUUGUGAGAGAAACCGAAAGAACCAGCAAGUGAAUCAGCGAGAAAGAGUACGGAGAGGGACGAACGCCAGUAAGGAACGGAAGAAGAGCGACUCAGACGUCUAGGGCGCAUGCGUCACUCAUCGUGGGCGUCGGGAAUGUGUUGACACGAGAACUCGAGAGAACGCCGUAGCCCUAAUGCCACGACGCGACGGCCCGUGUUAUCGUCGAUACGGUUCCCAUACUGCGGGUCCGCCCCGUCCUCGCGAAAUCUGGGUCUUUCAUCCUGACGAAAUCGGGUCUCUGUCGGUGUCAACUCUCUACGGGGAUUGAUGAUUCAAAAAUUACUGUGCAAAUGAUAAACAGAACAAAUAGAAAUGAGCUAGACAUGAA